rnacentral:Y_RNA from 1 species
GGCUGUUCUGAGUGCAGUGGUAUUUACAAAUAAUUGAUUACAACUAGCUAUAGACGUCUUUGUUGCUGCUCCACUCAACACUGCUUCACUUGACUGGCCUAAA